UUUAAAAGGUAGAUUUUCCUUCAAUGAUUACGUGUUGCCUGGUUAAUCAUAGAGGAAAAUCCACAUUUUCAG
rfam:Oryctolagus cuniculus unplaced genomic scaffold chrTn0352, whole genome shotgun sequence.